UACGUAGGGUGCAAGCGUUGUCCGGAAUUAUUGGGCGUAAAGAGCUCGUAGGCGGUUUGUCGCGUCUGCUGUGAAAACUCGGGGCUUAACCCCGGCCUGCAGUGGGUACGGGCAGACUAGAGUGCGGUAGGGGAGAUUGGAAUUCCUGGUGUAGCGGUGGAAUGCGCAGAUAUCAGGAGGAACACCAAUGGCGAAGGCAGAUCUCUGGGCCGUAACUGACGCUGAGGAGCGAAAGCAUGGGGAGCGAACAGG
rnacentral:rRNA from 1 species